rnacentral:rRNA from 1 species
CUUCCGGAGCUAACGCGUUAAGUAGACCGCCUGGGGAGUACGGCCGCAAGGUUAAAACUCAAAUGAAUUGACGGGGGCCCGCACAAGCGGUGGAGCAUGUGGUUUAAUUCGAUGCAACGCGAAGAACCUUACCUGGUCUUGACAUCCACAGAAGAAUCCAGAGAUGGAUUUGUGCCUUCGGGAACUGUGAGACAGGUGCUGCAUGGCUGUCGUCAGCUCGUGUUGUGAAAUGUUGGGUUAAGUCCCGCAACGAGCGCAACCCUUAUCCUUUGUUGCCAGCGGUUAGGCCGGGAACUCAAAGGAGACUGCCAGUGAUAAACUGGAGGAAGGUGGGGAUGACGUCAAGUCAUCAUGGCCCUUACGACCAGGGCUACACACGUGCUACAAUGGCGCAUACAAAGAGAAGCGACCUCGCGAGAGCAAGCGGACCUCAUAAAGUGCGUCGUAGUCCGGAUUGGAGUCUGCAACUCGACUCCAUGAAGUCGGAAUCGCUAGUAAUCGUGGAUCAGAAUGCCACGGUGAAUACGUUCCCGGGCCUUGUACACACCGCCCGUCACACCAUGGGAGUGGGUUGCAAAAGAAGUAGGUAGCUUAACCUUCGGGAGGGCGCUUACCACUUUGUGAUUCAUGACUGGGGUGAAGUCGUAACAAGGUAACCGUAGGGGAACCUGCGGUUGGA